GACGAACGCUGGCGGCGUGCCUAACACAUGCAAGUCGAACGCUGAAGGUUGGUUUUUGUUCCCACUGGAAGUGGCGCGAACGGGUGAGUAACGUGUGUGGAAUCUGCCUUUGUGCGGGGGAAAACCCUUGGAAAGGAAUUCUUAUUCCGCAUAAAAUCUUUUAACAAAAGUUUUUGGUUUGAAAGAUGCAAUUGGAUCACUCAAAAAUCACCCCCUGGUGUAUUGUUUAGUUGGUGAGGGAAAGGCCCACCAAGGCGAUGUAACAUAGCCGACCUGAGAGGGGGAUCGGCCACAUUGGGACGGAGACACGGCCCAAACUCCUACGGGAGGCAGCAGUAGGGAAUCUUCGGCAAUGGACGAAAGGCUGACCAGGCAACGCCGCGUGAGUGAAGAAGGUUUUCGGGUCGUAAAACUCGGUUGGUAGAGAAGAACGUUGGUGAGAGUGGAAAGCUCAUCAAGUGACGGUAACUACCCAGAAAGGGACGGCUAACUACGUG
rnacentral:rRNA from 1 species